CGGCGCUACAUACCAAAGAGCAUCAUAUCUAAAGAUUAAACAAACAAUGCAUUAAUUAAUAUUUCUACCGAAGAUCAAAUAUUAAAUACUAUUCUAAUACUUCUACACUGUGGUCAGUAUAAGACUGAGCAAACCAAUUUGCUGUAAACAUGUACCCCAAAUAACAAACCAAAAGUCCGCAGGACAAAACAACAUCAUGAAAACCAUUAAACUGUAUUAUACCAUUGUAUACCUACAAAACAUUUAUAGUGAAUGUAAUUAAAUAUAUAUAAUAAAUGUUAAAUAUAUAUACAUUUAUAUAUUAUAUAAACUAAUAUUAUAUGUUAUGUAAUUACAUAAAUUACUUAUAUAUAAUAUAUAAUAUUUAAUUACUUAUAUAUAAUAUACUAUCAGAAUCACAACGUAAUGUACACAUACAAAAGCCUUAAUAUGUAAAAACUACAAUGCCCGUGACACGAAUCAAUGAGGAUUUUACAAUUUUCAGGAAUAAUUUCUUUUUAUUAUUAGGUAUUUUAGCAAAAUUUAUAAGUGGAUAUGUAUCCAUAAAAAUAAUUAACAUGAUCUGGAAGAUAUUAAAAGUACAAGAUUUUUUGGUCCUGUUUUGCUCACAUUAAAUACGUAGAAUUACUCUUGUACAAAUCAUAUUCUUCAUGUAUACAAGGUUUGAAGAUUGCCCAUAAUCCUAAUCUAAAGCAAAUUAAAAUAACAUACAAUAUGUGGAAUGUAUUAUACUAAUAAGUAAUACUUACGCGAAAUAGGACGCAACUUAAUGACAAGACGUAAACUAACAGUAAUGGAAACAACCAUAUAUCAAACGAAAGUAACAAGCCUUUGCAGAACCUUCAACCCCAAAAAAUAUCUAUUUAGUAAAGUUACAUCCAAUAACUCUCAAACCUAUAAAUAUUUCAAUGUAAUUAUUCACGCUAAGGUGAAUACUAACAAUUAAUAUAAUCAAUAGAAAACAUAUUAACAUAUUUCGAAACUAACUCUAAGGUUCUUCUAUGAAGGUAAACUGAAAGACAAAUAUUCCGAUGCAUAUAUUGUAUUCUUUGAACAACAGGAAGUUGUAGCAUAUAGACAGUGAAGAACGUGAAAAUCGCAAGUAGCGACCAAACUCCGAAUCCUGCUGCUGCUCCCUCAAGCAGUAA